GGCAAGUGGUUUCCUCUGACCAACACCCAGGAGUCAGGGAGCAGAGGGGGAGGGGAUUUUUAUUUUUGUAGAUCUGAUCGCUGUAGCUAGCUUUUACUGCUGUCUGUCUGUCAGUCUCACACAUUCUGCCUGAUGCACUCAGAGAAAGCAGACCCUCAGUUCCUGGCUUCCCCUCCAGUUCACUCUCACUUGCUCAUCUCUUGUCUCCCCAUUUGCUCUGUCCUCGCUCAGCAAACUAAACGCUGCCUCCCUUCUCUGAGAUUCCUUCCUGCUUUCCCCUCCCCACUUCCAACCCUUGGACUUUCUUCCCUUCCCAAGGAGGCUCUGAGCAAUCAGACUGCGAGCAAUCAGACUGCCUUUGCUGCAAGUAAAGAAAUUAGCACAACCUGCUGCUCCAUUCAUGCCCAACAGAUUUUGAUGACCUCUCUGAAUGGAACCUGGCAUUUAAUCUUUUUUGAAAAUUUCAAUCACUGUCGCCACAUAUUGGUCAUCAGGUGGGGGCUUCCUCUGGCUGCCAGGCUGUAGGAAUUUCUUAAUUGUAGACUGGGAAAUAUCUGGUUGUGGCCCUCUCAAUGAUUAAGGCAAGAUUCCUCUCCUUAGGUGGAGUGAAAGCAAAGAUCCUUCCCAUAGAGGUUGUACUUGGCAGCUAUGUAGCUGAGAAUGGCUCUGGUCUGCACCAUCUUCAUCCCAUCAAUUUCCACC